rnacentral:rRNA from 1 species
UACGAAGGGAGCUAGCGUUGCUCGGAAUUACUGGGCGUAAAGGGCGCGUAGGCGGACAGUUUAGUCAGAGGUGAAAGCCCAGGGCUCAACCUUGGAAUUGCCUUUGAUACUGGCUGUCUUGAGUUCGGGAGAGGUGAGUGGAAUGCCGAGUGUAGAGGUGAAAUUCGUAGAUAUUCGGCGGAACACCAGUGGCGAAGGCGACUCACUGGCCCGAUACUGACGCUGAGGCGCGAAAGCCAGGGGAGCAAACGGG